rnacentral:rRNA from 1 species
CCGAGUCUUAACUGGGCGUUAAGUUGCAGGGUAUAGACCCGAAACCCGGUGAUCUAGCCAUGGGCAGGUUGAAGGUUGGGUAACACUAACUGGAGGACCGAACCGACUAAUGUUGAAAAAUUAGCGGAUGACUUGUGGCUGGGGGUGAAAGGCCAAUCAAACCGGGAGAUAGCUGGUUCUCCCCGAAAGCUAUUUAGGUAGCGCCUCGUGAAUUCAUCUCCGGGGGUAGAGCACUGUUUCGGCAAGGGGGUCAUCCCGACUUACCAACCCGAUGCAAACUGCGAAUACCGGAGAAUGUUAUCACGGGAGACACACGGCGGGUGCUAACGUCCGUCGUGAAGAGGGAAACAACCCAGACCGCCAGCUAAGGUCCCAAAGUCAUGGUUAAGUGGGAAACGAUGUGGGAAGGCCCAGACAGCCAGGAUGUUGGCUUAGAAGCAGCCAUCAUUUAAAGAAAGCGUAAUAGCUCACUGGUCGAGUCGGCCUGCGCGGAAGAUGUAACGGGGCUAAACCAUGCACCGAAGCUGCGGCAGCGACGCUUAUGCGUUGUUGGGUAGGGGAGCGUUCUGUAAGCCUGCGAAGGUGUACUGUGAGGUAUGCUGGAGGUAUCAGAAGUGCGAAUGCUGACAUAAGUAACGAUAAAGCGGGUGAAAAGCCCGCUCGCCGGAAGACCAAGGGUUCCUGUCCAACGUUAAUCGGGGCAGGGUGAGUCGACCCCUAAGGCGAGGCCGAAAGGCGUAGUCGAUGGGAAACAGGUUAAUAUUCCUGUACUUGGUGUUACUGCGAAGGGGGGACGGAGAAGGCUAUGUUGGCCGGGCGACGGUUGUCCCGGUUUAAGCGUGU